rnacentral:lncRNA from 1 species
GAAUGAUAAGUUACAGUUAAAAAAAUAAAAUGAAAUAGCAAGUCACAAAAGAUCAAAAAUAUAAAGCACUUCAAUCUUGCUGCAUAGCUGACAAUCAGCCCUUUAUGGUGUGUUUGGAUGGAGGGACUCAUAAAAGAAAUAAAUAGACACCAAUACCAGCACUGUAAGAGAAAUAAGCCCCUAAGGCCCUAACAAAUAAACUUCCAAGGACUUGCAUGAGCCUAAUAUGUGAUAGAUUGGUAUCUUGUAACCUAGAUGCAAUAAGUUUCAUUCCAAAUUACAUCAAGGGGAGUUGAAAAUCCAACAAAAAAAAAUAAUACCUUCCACCAUAGAGAAGA